ACUGCGAGUGAAGCGGCAAAAGCUCAAAUUUGAAAUCUGGUACCUUUGGGUGCUCGAGUUGUAAUUUGGAGAGGCAACUUCGGAGGAGGCGCUGGCCUAAGUUCCUUGGAACAGGACGUCACAGAGGGUGAGAAUCCCGUGCUUGGCUGGCUGUCCUCCUUCAUGUGAAGUGUCUUCGACGAGUCGAGUUGUUUGGGAAUGCAGCUCAAAAUGGGUGGUAAACUCCAUCUAAGGCUAAAUAUUGGCGAGAGACCGAUAGCGCACAAGUAGAGUGAUCGAAAGAUGAAAAGCACUUUGAAAAGAGAGUUAAACAGUACGUGAAAUUGUUGAAAGGGAAGCGCUUGAGACCAGACUCGGUGUUAGGUGAUCAGCGGUUGCUUUUGCUCCGUGCACUUGCCUUUUAUCGGGCCAGCAUCAGUUGUGACGGUGGGAUAAAGACUCAGGGAAUGUGGCUCUCUUCGGGGAGUGUUAUAGCCCUGGGUGUAAUGCCGCCUGUUACGACUGAGGACCGCGCUUCGGCUAGGAUGCUGGCAUAAUGGUCUUCAGCGACCCGUCUUGAAACACGGACCAAGGAGUCUAACAUCUAUGCGAGUGUUCGGGUGUAAAACCCCUACGCGUAAUGAAAGUGAACGGAGGUGGGAACUCUUCGGAGUGCACCAUCGACCGAUCCUGAUGUCUUCGGAUGGAUUUGAGUAGGAGCAUAGCUGUUGGGACCCGAAAGAUGGUGAACUAUGCCUGAAUAGGGUGAAGCCAGAGGAAACUCUGGUGGAGGCUCGCAGCGGUUCUGACGUGCAAAUCGAUCGUCAAAUUUGGGUAUAGGGGCGAAAGACUAAUCGAACCAUCUAGUAGCUGGUUCCUGCCGAAGUUUCCCUCAGGAUAGCAGUAACGAUCU
rnacentral:rRNA from 1 species